CUGACACUCCUGAGUCUGUAUUUAGACGUACAGAAGGGAUUUCUUACCCGAAGGAGAUGCAGUAGAAGAUGAUGAGCAGAGAAAUGCUCCUGCAUUUGAGCGAUUCACGAAACAUCUGCUUAAUAGGCACCAAGGCCUCUUAAACAUCACUUGGAAGACGUGGAUCGCCUCUGUCUCUCGGCCAGCC